rnacentral:rRNA from 1 species
AACGAACGCUGGCGGCAUGCCUAACACAUGCAAGUCGAACGAGACCUUCGGGUCUAGUGGCGCACGGGUGCGUAACGCGUGGGAACCUGCCCUUAGGUUCGGAAUAACUCCCCGAAAGGGGUGCUAAUACCGGAUAAUGUCUUCGGACCAAAGAUUUAUCGCCUUUGGAUGGGCCCGCGUUGGAUUAGCUAGUUGGUAGGGUAAAAGCCUACCAAGGCGACGAUCCAUAGCUGGUCUGAGAGGAUGAUCAGCCACACUGGGACUGAGACACGGCCCAGACUCCUACGGGAGGCAGCAGUGGGGAAUAGUGGACAAUGGGCGAAAGCCUGAUCCAGCAAUGACGCGUGAGUGAUGAAGGCCUUAGGGUUGUAAAGCUCUUUUAACCGGGAUGAUAAUGACAGUACCGGGAGAAUAAGCUCCGGCUAACUCCGUG